rnacentral:rRNA from 1 species
UGGGGAAUUUUGGACAAUGGGCGAAAGCCUGAUCCAGCAAUGCCGCGUGUGUGAAGAAGGCCUUCGGGUUGUAAAGCACUUUUGUCCGGAAAGAAAUCCUUGGCUCUAAUACAGUCGGGGGAUGACGGUACCGGAAGAAUAAGCACCGGCUAACUACGUGCCAGCAGCCGCGGUAAUACGUAGGGUGCAAGCGUUAAUCGGAAUUACUGGGCGUAAAGCGUGCGCAGGCGGUUUGCUAAGACCGAUGUGAAAUCCCCGGCUCAACCUGGACUGCAUUGGUGACUGGCAGGCUAGAGUAUGGCAGAGGGGGGUAGAAUUCCACGUGUAGCAGUGAAAUGCGUAGAGAUGUGGAGGAAUACCGAUGGCGAAGGCAGCCCCCUGGGCCAAUACUGACGCUCAUGCACGAAAAGCGUGGGGAGCAAACAGGAUUAGAUACCCUGGUAGUCCACGCCCUAAAACGAUGUCAACUAGUUGUUGGGGAUUCAUUUCCUUAGUAACGUAGCUAACGCGUGAAGUUGACCGCCUGGGGAGUACGGUCGCAAGAUUAAAACUUAAAUGAAUUGACGGGGUCAUAGCUGUUUCCU